rnacentral:rRNA from 1 species
GAUCAUGGCUCAGGAUGAACGCUGGCGGCGUGCUUAACACAUGCAAGUCGAACGAAGCACUUGAGAAUGAUUCUUCGGAAGAUUUCUCUUGUGACUUAGUGGCGGACGGGUGAGUAACGCGUGGGUAACCUGCCUCACACAGGGGGAUAACAGUUGGAAACGACCGCUAAUACCGCAUAACCCGCUAGGGCCGCAUGGCCCGGACGGAAAAGAUUUAUCGGUGUGAGAUGGACCCGCGUUGGAUUAG